UACAUGUGGGGCAAGCGUUGUUCGGAAUUACUGGGCAUAAAGGGUGCGUAGGCGGCCUAUUAAGUCAGGGGUGAAAGACGGUAGCUUAACUAUCGCAGUGCCUUUGAUACUGAUGGGCUUGAAUACACUAGAGGUAGGCGGAAUGUGACAAGUAGCGGUGAAAUGCAUAGAUAUGUCACAGAACACCAAUUGCGAAGGCAGCUUACUAUGGUGCAAUUGACGCUGAGGCACGAAAGCGUGGGGAUCAAACAGG
rnacentral:rRNA from 1 species